GCCAGCAUGGCAGUGGUUUGGGUGCUAGACUAUGACUCUGGAGACUAGGGUUCAAUUCCCCACUUGGCC